UCAAUAAGCGGAGGAAAAGAAACUAACCAGGAUUCCCCUAGUAACGGCGAGUGAAGCGGGAAGAGCUCAAAUUUGUAAUCUGGCGGUCUCUGGCCGUCCGAGUUGUAGUCUGGAGAAGCGUGUCCCGUGCCGGACCGUGUACAAGUCCCUUGGAACUGGGCGUCGUAGAGGGUGAGAAUCCCGUCUCGGACGCGGAUCACCGGGGCUCUGUGGCACGCUCUCGAAGAGUCGAGUUGUUUGGGAAUGCAGCUCAAAACGGGUGGUAAAUUCCAUCUAAAGCUAAAUACGGGCGAAAGACCGAUAGCGAACAAGUACCGUGAGGGAAAGAUGAAAAGCACUUUGGAAAGAGAGUUAAACAGUACGUGAAAUUGUUGAAAGGGAAACGCUUCACGUCAGUCGCGUCUCGCGGGACUCAGCCGGGUCGGCUCACGACCCGGUGCACUUCCCGACGGUGACGGGCCAGCAUCGAUCUCGACCGUCGGACAAAGGCUUGUGGGAAGGUGGCACCUCCGGGUGUGUUAUAGCCCCGUGCCGUACGCGACGGUCCGCGAUCGAGGACCGCAGCGCGCCCCCCGACUCCGGGGGUCGGGGUUCGCCCACGUGAAGCGCUUAGGAUGCUUGGCGUAAUGGCUU
rnacentral:rRNA from 1 species